rnacentral:rRNA from 1 species
AUGUUGAAGCUGUUCCUUCAACACUUGUGUUGUACACAUUGUAGCAGCAAGGUGGAGUUGCUCCUCCACAAACUUUGUGCUGCUUCACCUCCACAACCUCAGCACGCAGGCAGUUCACCUCCGCCACCGAUGUCAGUUCAACGCCACCAGGAGAACCCUGUGCGUCAACACCCCUGUCAACCCCGUGCAACUUUGUUCUCUCAGCUUCAAAGAGGGUCGGUUCAGAACUUUGAACGCCCAGAGGUUCAGUUCAGAACUUGGCCUUGUGAUACAUUUGGUUUCUUUUCUGCAGCUCACACGACCCAAAUAACAACUGAUCAUUUGAUAAAUUUUGGGUUCAGCUUCACACUACGCAGAAGUGCAUAUUCUUCUGCUUGUAAGUUCUAA